GUCUUCAGUCAUCUUCCUGGAUGAGCCAUCAACUGGCAUGGACCCAGUAGCCAGAUGCCUGCUCUGGAACAUGGUGACAAAGACACGUGAAAGUGGAAAAGCCAUCGUUAUGACCUCCCACAGUAUGGAGGAAUGUGACACCCUCUGUACCAGUCUAGCCAUCAUGGUGCAAGGGAAGUUCACUUGCUUGGGCAGCCCUCAGCAUCUCAAGAGCAAGUUUGGUAACAUUUACAUCCUGAAGGUCAAGAUCAAGACUGAAGAUAAAUUAGAGGAUUUUAAAUGUUAUGUUGCGACAACAUUUCCAGGUAGUGUCUUAAAACAUGAAAAUCAAGGGAUCCUUAACUACUACAUUCCUAGCAAGGACAGUCGCUGGGGAAAGGUGUUUGGCAUUUUGGAGGAAGCUAAAGAGCAAUUCGAUUUAGAAGACUAUUCUGUCAGUCAGAUCACACUGGAACAGGUCUUCCUGACCUUUGCUAACCCAGAGAAAGCAUCCAGUGAUGAUGAAAACGAGGUGCCAUGAGAUUCAGUUACAACCAGUGACCCUUGUGUCUCUCAUAGAUGACACCUGGAUGCAUAGGGGG
rnacentral:lncRNA from 1 species